AGGACAAACGCUGGCGGCGUGCCUAAGACAUGCAAGUCGAACGGUGGGGCUUGCCCCACAGUGGCGGACGGGUGAGGAACGCGUGGGCAACCUGCCCCGGGGUGGGGGAUAACACUCAGAAAUGGGUGCUAAGACCGCAUACGAGUGGGGGACGGAAGGUUCCUUAGGGAAAGCCUUCGGGCUGCCCUGGGAGGGGCCCGCGUCGGAUUAGCUAGUUGGUGUGGUAACGGCGCACCAAGGCUGCGAUCCGUAGCUGGUCUGAGAGGACGACCAGCCACACUGGGACUGAGACACGGCCCAGACUCCUACGGGAGGCAGCAGUUAGGGAUUUUCACAAUGGGCGCAAGCCUGAUGGAGUGACGCCGCGUGCAGGACGACGCCUUUCGGGGUGUAAACUGCUUUUCUUCGGGACGAGAACGGACGGUACCGGAGGAAGAAGCCUCGGCUAACUACGCGCCAGCAGCCGC
rnacentral:rRNA from 1 species